rnacentral:rRNA from 1 species
UACGUAGGGUGCAAGCGUUAAUCGGAAUUACUGGGCGUAAAGCGUGCGCAGGCGGUUUUGUAAGUCUGUCGUGAAAGCCCCGGGCUCAACCUGGGAAUUGCGAUGGAGACUGCAAGGCUUGAAUCUGGCAGAGGGGGGUAGAAUUCCGCGUGUAGCAGUGAAAUGCGUAGAGAUGCGGAGGAACACCGGAUGGCGAAGGCAGCCCCCUGGGCCGACACUGACGCUCAGGCACGAAAGCGUGGGGAGCAAACAGG